rnacentral:rRNA from 1 species
ACCGUAACAGACAUAGUUCGGUUGCAGACUCGUCCGCUAAGCAUAAUGUCCGCUGGAGUACCAGCCAGUGUGAACUCAAAGGAUUGACGGGACCCGCACAGCAGCGGAGCAUGUGUUAAUUCGAAGCAACGCGAAGAACCUUACCAGGGCUUGACAUCCCUCUGACAGUCCCUAACCGGGACCUUCUUCGGACAGAGGAGACAGGUGGUGCAUGGUUGUCGUCAGCUCGUGUCGUGAGAUGUUGGGUUAAGUCCCGCAACGAGCGCAACCCUUGUCUUUAGUUGCCAUCAUUUAGUUGGGCACUCUAGAGAGACUGCCGAGGAUAACUCGGAGGAAGGUGGGGAUGACGUCAAAUCAUCAUGCCCCUUAUGCCCUGGGCUACACACGUGCUACAAUGGCUGGUACAAAGAGACGCAAGACCGCGAGGUGGAGCAAAUCUCAAAAACCAGUCCCAGUUCGGAUUGCAGGCUGCAACUCGCCUGCAUGAAGUUGGAGUUGCUAGUAAUCGCAGAUCAGAAUGCUGCGGUGAACGCGUUCCCGGGUCUUGUACACACCGCCCGUCACACCAUGGAAGUUGGGGGCGCCCGAAGUUGGCCAAAUAAUAGGUUACCUAAGGCGAAAUCAAUGACUGGGGUGAGGUCGUAACAAGGUAGCCGUA